GCCCGCUUUAUGGAGGUCACCAACAUUGUUCUCUGGGGUUGAGUAAUUCUGGAGACUUCGGCUGAUUGAGAGUAGAAAAUGGUUUAUGAGGAGCAGCUGGGGGAACUGGGGUGGUGUAAUCUGGAGAAGGCUCAGAGGAGGCCUUAUCACUUCUAUAACCACCUGAAAGGAGGCUGCAGCCAGGAGGAGUCAGCCUCUUUUCUCAGGUAAUGGUGAUAGGACAAGUGGUAUGGCCUGAAGUUGUACCAGGGGAGGUUUACACUGGAUAUCAGGAAGAUAUACAGAAAUUCUGUACAGAGUGGGUGGUCAAGUCUUGGAGUGUUCUGUCGAGGGAAGUGAAGGAGGUUCCAUCUCUGGAGGUUUGGCUGUGGAUUCAGCUCUCAGAAGAAAGGCUGUCUGCAGGAGUCCUGGCGUCCCUUGGCAGCAUUGACAGUGAGACCCUCCCCCACUCUGCUUUCUACAGUGCUCAACAAGGUGAAGUGGAAGGUGUACACAUGUCAGAUGGCUCCCAGAAGUCUCCCACACUGCUAUAUGAAUUCUUACACUCAGAAGCAACAUCUGAGGAAAUGAGCUUGGGAAACCUGAGAAAGGAAUGAAGGAGUCAUUAGUUUUGCCCAUCUGGCAGCAGAACAGCUGGUCCUGCUGAGUCUGGAGAUUCAUUCCUGAUGUCUCUCCUGCUCAGUGUUACGCAGCUCAGCAGAAUCUUGAGGGUCUGUAUGGGAACUGUUGAAUCAUGGCCUGAACCUCUGAUUGACCACCUGAGGCAAGUACUGAGUCAGCCGUGGGAGCACAGGUGAAGGCAAUUCAGCUGUGUGACAGGAAGGGGUGGAGCCUGGCUGCACCUCUCCUAGACCCCAUUUAAGGGCUGACUGCCACUGAGGAGAGUUCUCUCUCUGGAGAUUGCUUGUUGUGGAGUUUUGUGCGCCUACAACACUGGAUCCACCACAACUGACUGGGCCCAGUGCUACUGGGAUCAUCUCCAAUUUCAUAUCUACAAGCAACCAUUCAAGGCAUGAUGAGUGCUGCUAGAUGUUUCAUGGUAAUGAAAGACUGGAGUUAAUUCUUAUCUUCUGGCUUUCCUUGCACUUGUGUUUGGCACAAGGGAGAGUGUGGUAUGUGAAUAUCAUAAGUCACAU
ensembl:lncRNA